UUGUGGUAGUGGCCCAACAAGGUAUUGACGGAUAACGGGGAAUCAGGGUUCGAUUCCGGAGAGGGAGCCUGAGAAACGGCUACCACAUCUAAGGAAGGCAGCAGGCGCGUAAAUUACCCAAAUCCGAAUUCCGGGAGGUAGUGACAAGAAAUAUCAAGACAGGCUUAAUGUCUGUAUUUGGAAUGAGUUUAAUUUAACAAAUUAUUCGAGCACCCAUUGGAGGGCAAGUCUGGUGCCAGCAGCCGCGGUAAUUCCAGCUCCAAUAGUGUAUAAUAAAGUUGUUGCGGUUAAAACGCUCGCAGUUGGUUGACAAAAGUUGCCACUUGUAUGGUCAAUUAUAACCUAUACAAUUUGGUGACUUUUUUUAUUGCAAAUUAUGUCAAUUUUCUUAAUUGCAACUUGACAUUCAUUUGCAUAAUGUGCCUUGAAUAAACUAAAGUGCUCAAUGCAAGCUUAUGCUCGCAUAACAAAACAUGGAACAAAUUAAACCUAAUCCAGCUUGGUUGGUUGGUCCAACUCUUUUGAUUUGAAAAUUUGUUACAUCACGACAUGCUUAUUAUUGCUGAGAAUCUCAUCAUUUGUUAACGCAAAUGGUGUAUCGCUCAAUCAUUUGUAUUGUUCUUGCUCUGUGACUUUGGAUCUGUCUCUUGAGAACCAAGCUGGAUCCAGAUUAAAAGAAGCAAUUGAGGGCGUUGGUACUGGGCAGCGAGAGGUGAAAUUCAUAGACCUGCCCAAGACUUACGAAAGCGAAGGCAUACGCCAAAUUUGUUUUCAUUAAUCAUGAGCGAAUGUUGAGGGAUCAAAGACGAUUAGACACCGUCGUAGUCUCAUACAGUAAACUAUGCCCACCUGAGGUUAGCCCAUUAUUAAAUCUUAUAGGUUGGCCUCCCAGAGAAAUCUCAAGUUUUUGGGUUCCGGGGGGAGUACGAUCGCAAGUUUGAAACUUAAAGGAAUUGACGGAAUGGCACCACAAGGGGUGGAGCCUGCGGCUUAAUUUGACUCAACACGGGACAACUUACCAGGUCCGCACAUUGAAAGGAUUGACAGAUUAACAGCUCUUUCAUGGUACAAUGUUUGGUGGUGCAUGGCCGUUCUUAGUUCGUGGAGCAAUUUGUCUGGUCAAUUCCUAUAACGAACGAGACUGUGAUUUCUAUUUUAUGCCUCACUCUUGUACAACACUUGAUAAUUUUGUUGUUGCUGCUGGUAUCAUGACAAUGUAUUGAUUGGAGGUGUCGGGUUAACGCCAGGCAUUUUUGAUUGGUCUGUUUUUGUGGUAUUUGCGGUAAUAAUAUAGGUUUUUUGGUGUAAGGUGAGAUAAUCGAGAGACAACCGCGCGAUCUCAAGCCGGAGGAGGCGCAGCGAUAACAGGUCUGUGAUGCCCUUAGAUGUUCUGGGCUGCACGCGCGCUACAAUGAAAUUGACAAAAAGUUACUGCUUUGAAAAAGGUGGUCAAACAUUAAUCGAUUUCUUAUUGGGGAUAGUGUACUGUAAUUGUGCACUCCAACGAGGAAUCCCUAGUAGGCGCGGUUCACCAAACCGUGCCGAAUAUGUCUAUGUCCUUUGUACACACCGCCCGUCGCUACUACUGAUUUAAUGAUGUUUCGAAGAAUAAGGAUUUGAAAAGGGAUUUAUUCAUUUUUGGAGAAUCAUUCUAAGAAAUUCUUUAGAGAGGAAGUAAAAGUCGUAACAAGGUUU
rnacentral:rRNA from 1 species